UGGCGGCGUGCCUAAUACAUGCAAGUCGAGCGCAGGAAAUCGACGGAACCCUUCGGGGGGAAGUCGACGGAAUGAGCGGCGGACGGGUGAGUAACACGUAAAGAACCUGCCCUCAGGUCUGGGAUAACCACGAGAAAUCGGGGCUAAUACCGGAUAGGUCAUCGAACCGCAUGGUUCGAGGAUGAAAGGCGCUUCGGCGUCGCCUGGGGAUGGCUUUGCGGUGCAUUAGCUAGUUGGUGGGGUAAUGGCCCACCAAGGCGACGAUGCAUAGCCGACCUGAGAGGGUGAUCGGCCACACUGGGACUGAGACACGGCCCAGACUCCUACGGGAGGCAGCAGUAGGGAAUCUUCCACAAUGGACGAAAGUCUGAUGGAGCAACGCCGCGUGAACGAUGAAGGCUUUCGGGUCGUAAAGUUCUGUUGUAAGGGAAGAACAAGUGCCGCAGGCAAUGGCGGCACCUUGACGGUACCUUGCGAGAAAGCCACGGCU
rnacentral:rRNA from 1 species